GUGGGGAAUUUUGGACAAUGGGCGCAAGCCUGAUCCAGCAAUGCCGCGUGCAGGAAGAAGGCCUUCGGGUUGUAAACUGCUUUUGUACGGAACGAAAAGGCUCUGGUUAAUACCUGGGGCUCAUGACGGUACCGUAAGAAUAAGCACCGGCUAACUACGUGCCAGCAGCCGCGGUAAUACGUAGGGUGCAAGCGUUAAUCGGAAUUACUGGGCGUAAAGCGUGCGCAGGCGGUUUUGUAAGACAGAGGUGAAAUCCCCGGGCUCAACCUGGGAAUUGCCAUUGUGACUGCAAGGCUGGAGUGCGGCAGAGGGGGAUGGAAUUCCGCGUGUAGCAGUGAAAUGCGUAGAUAUGCGGAGGAACACCGAUGGCGAAGGCAAUCCCCUGGGCCUGCACUGACGCUCAUGCACGAAAGCGUGGGGAGCAAACAGGAGUAGAAACCCUUGUAGUCC
rnacentral:rRNA from 1 species